rnacentral:rRNA from 1 species
AUUGAACGCUGGCGGCAGGCCUAACACAUGCAAGUCGAACGAGUGGCGGACGGGUGAGUAAUGUCUGGGAACCUGCCUGAUGGAGGGGGAUAACUACUGGAAACGGUAGCUAAUACCGCAUACCAUCAGAUGUGCCCAGAGUGGAUUAGCUGGUUGGGGGGGUAACGGCUCACAAAGGCGGCGAUCCCUAGCUGGUCUGAGAGGAUGACCAGCCACACGGGAACGGAGACACGGUCCAUACUCCUACGGGAGGCAGCAGUGGGGAAUAGUGGACAAUGGGCGCAAGCCUGAUGCAGCGAUGGCGAGUGUAUGAAGAAGGCCUUCGGGUUGUAAAGUACUUUUAGCGGGGAGGCGUUACCUGCAGAAGAAGCACCGGCUAACUCCGUGCCAGCAGCCGCGGUAAUUC